GUGUGUGUGUGUGUGUGUGUGUGUGUGUGUGUGUGUGUGUGUGUGUGUGUGUGUGUGUGUGUGUGUGUGUGUGUGUGCGUGCGUGCGUGCGUGCGUGCGUGUAAAGCUUACCGUAUGUGUGUAGGCGAGUGACUAUGCAUAUGUCUACAUGUGUGUGGGAAUGCAGUAAAAAUGAAUGAACCGCAGCAGCAGCAGCCCCGGAUACACAGACCCGCCUCCAGCCACCCACCCAGCCAUGUGUGACUCCUGCCCCAGAUCAGAGCUCCGAAGCCUGGGGAGGGGAGCCAAGAGAGGAGGGGGUCUUGGCACUGGGCCUAGGCCUCAGUGUUUUGUUCUUGGGGGAGCUGGCUGCACUUAAAAAGGCCAUUGACGUCUUGGCUGCUGUGUGCAAUUUGCUUCCCCUCUCUGUCUGCAGAGUAUGUGGGACACACACACACACCCAUACACAUACACACAUACACAUACACACUCUUGUCUGCGAGUCUGCGGGCGAUCACUGGCAUUUAUUGGACCACAGGGAAAAGAACCGGCUGCCUAAGAGCACACACCCCCCCCUUCCUACGCCCCCUCACUAGGCUAAUCACUUCCUCUCCUCUCUGUCUCCAUCUGACCAUCUCUCUCCAUCUUUCUCUUCUUUAUUCCCUCUUCCUCUCUCCUCCACUCUUCCCACUCACUCCAUCUCCCUCUUUAUCUUUCUGUCCAUCAUCAUAUCCUGGAUCUUUUACUAUUUACUCCUUCUCUCUUCUCUGCCUCCCAGCUCAGCCCAGGUGUAGUUAGUGAUGGUGUAGUGAGUGAGUGGAGUAGUGAGUGAGUGGUGUAGUGAGUGAUGGUCUAGUCUAGUGAGUGGUAAUGUAGUGAGUGAUGGUCUAGUCUAGUGAGUAGUGGUGUAGUGAGUGAUCGUGUAGUGGUGUAGUGAGUGAAGGUGUAGUGAGUGAUGGUGUGGUGAGUAAAGAUGUAGUAAAUUAUGGUGUAGUGAGUGAAAGAGUAGUGAGUAAAGGUGAGGUGAGUAAAGGUGGGGUGAGUGAUGUAGUGGGUAAAGGUGUAUUGAGUGAAGGUGUAAUGAGUGCUGUAUUGGGUAAAGAUGUAGUGAGUGAAAGUGUAGUGAGUGAAAGUGUAGUGAGUAAUGUAGUGGGUAAAGGUGUAGUGGGUAAAGGUGUAAUGAGUGAUGUAGUGAGUAAAGGUGUAGUGAGUAAAGGUGUAAUGAGUAAAGGUGUAAUGAGUGAAGGUGUAUUGAGUGAAAGUGUAGUGAGUAAAGCUGUAGUGAGUAAAGGUGUAAUGAGUAAAGGUGUAGUGAGUGAAGGUGUAGUGAGUGAAGGUGUAAUGAGUAAAGGUGUAAUGAGUAAAGGUGUAGUGAGUGAAGGUGUAGUGAGUGAAGGUGUAGUGAGUGAAAGAGUAGUGAGUGAAUGUGUCGUGAGUAAAGCUGUAGUGAGUAAAGCUGUAGUGAAUAAAGGUGUAAUGAGUAAAGGUGUAGUGAGUGAAAGAGUAGUGAGUGAAUGUGUAGUGAGUAAAACUGUAGUGAGUAAAGGUGUAGUGAGUGAAAGUGUUGUGAGUGAAGGUGUUGUGAGUGAGAGUGUAGUGAGUGAAAGUGUAGUGAGUGAAGGUGUUGUGAGUGAAAGUGUAGUGAGUGAAGGUGUUGUGAGUGAAAGUGUAGUGAGUGAAGGUGUAGUGAGUGAAAGAGUAGUGAGUGAAUGUGUAGUGAGUAAAACUGUAGUGAGUAAAGGUGUAGUGAGUGAAAGUGUUGUGAGUGAAGGUGUUGUGAGUGAGAGUGUAGUGAGUGAAAGUGUAGUGAGUGAAGGUGUUGUGAGUGAAAGUGUAGUGAGUGAAGGUGUUGUGAGUGAAAGUGUAGUGAGUGAAGGUGUUGUGAGUGAAAGUGUAGUGAGUGAAGGUGUUGUGAGUGAAAGUGUAGUGAGUGAAGGUGUUGUGAGUGAAAGUGUAGUGAGUGAAGGUGUAGUGAGUGAAAGUGUAGUGAGUGAAGGUGUUGUGAGUGAAAGUGUAGUGAGUGAAGGUGUAGUGAAUAAAGGUGUAAUGAGUGAUGUAGUGGGUAAAGGUGUAGUGGGUGAUGUAGUGGGUGAUGUAGUGGGUAACGGUGUAAUGAGUAACGGUGUAGUGAGUGGUGUAGUGGGUAAAGGUGUAGUGAGUGAUGUAGUGAGUGAAGGUGUAAUGAGUAAAGGUGUAGUGGGUAAAAGUUUAGUGAGUGAAAGGUGUAGUGAGUAAAAGUGUAGUGAGUGAAAGUGUAGUGAGUGAUGUAGUGAGUGAAGGUGUAAUAAGUAAAGGUGUAGUGGGUAAAAGUUUAGUGAGUGAAAGGUGUAGUGAGUAAAAGUGUAGUGAGUGAAAGUGUAGUGAGUGAUGUAGUGAGUAAAGGUGUAGUGAGUGAUGUGUUGAGUAAAGGUGUAGUGAGUAAAGGUGUAAUGAGUGAAGGUGUAGUGAGUGAAAGUGUAAUGUGUAGUGAGUAAAGCUGUAGUGAAUAAAGGUGUAGUGAGUAAAGGUGUAGUGAGUGAAGGAGUAGUGAGUGAAAGAGUAGUGAGUGAAUCUGGAGUGAGUAAAGGUGUAGUGAGUAAAGAUGUAGUGAGUGAAGGUGUAGUGAGUGAAGGUGUAAUCAGUAAAUGUGUAAUGAGUAAAGGUGUGGUGAGUGAAAGAGUAGUGAGUGAAUGUGUAGUGAGUAAAGCUGUAGUGAGUAAAGCUGUAGUGAAUAAAGGUGUAGUGAGUAAAGCUGUAGUGAGUAAAGCUGUAGUGAAUAAAGCUGUAGUGAGUAAAGCUGUAGUGAAUAAAGGUGUAGUGAGUAAAGGUGUAGUGAGUGAAAGUGUAGUGAGUGAAAGUGUAGUGAGUGAAAGUGUUGUGAGUGAAAGUGUAGUGAGUGAAGGUGUAGUGAGUGAAAGUGUUGAGAGUUUUACACACUCACAUAAAACUACUUCCCUCACAUCUCUCCUCAAUCACAUCCAGUAUAGACAUCUGUAAUGUUUCAGUUUCUACCUGUCAAGCAGAUGCUGGAGUGAAACAACCUCCGGCAUGUGUGUGUGUGUGUGUGUGUGUGUGUGUGUGUGUGUGUGUGUGUGUGUGUGUGUGUGUGUGUGUGUGUGUGUGUGUGUGUGUGUGUGUGUGUGUGUGUGUGUGUGUGUGUGUGUGUGUGUGUGUGUGUAACCCUCUCUCAACGUGUGUGUCUGUGGGUGGUGGGAUAGGCAGAAUAUAUAUUUCCAUUCUAAUGAAAUUAAUGAAUAAAGUAUCUGUUCUAUUCUAAUCU